rnacentral:rRNA from 1 species
AGAGGGGUUUGGGAUCUGGCUCAGGAUGAACGCUGGCGGUAUGCUUAACACAUGCAAGUCGAACGAAGUGCUUCGGCACUUAGUGGCGGACGGGUGAGUAACGCGUGAGAAUCUGCCUUUAGGACUGGGACAACAGCUGGAAACGGCUGCUAAUACCAGAUAUGCAAGUAAGUGAAAAAGGGAAACCUGCCUGAAGAUGAGCUCGCGUCUGAUUAGCUAGUUGGUGGGGUAAAAGCCUACCAAGGCUCCGAUCAGUAACUGGUCUGAGAGGAUGACCAGUCACACUGGGACUGAGACACGGCCCAGACUCCUACGGGAGGCAGCAGUGGGGAAUUUUCCGCAAUGGGCGAAAGCCUGACGGAGCAAUACCGCGUGAGGGAGGAAGGCCCUUGGGUUGUAAACCUCUUUUCUCAGGGAAGAAUACUGACGGUACCUGAGGAAUCAGCAUCGGCUAACUCCGUGCCAGCAGCCGCGGUAAUACGGAGGAUGCAAGCGUUAUCCGGAAUUAUUGGGCGUAAAGCGUCUGUAGGUGGAUAUUCAAGUCUGCUGUCAAAGACCGGGGCUUAACCCUGGAAAGGCGGUGGAAACUGAACGUCUAGAGUGCGGUAGGGGCAGAGGGAAUUCCCAGUGUAGCGGUGAAAUGCGGAGAGAUUGGGAAGAACACCGGUGGCGAAAGCGCUCUGCUAGGCCAAACUGACACUGAUGGACGAAAGCUAGGGGAGCGAAUGGGAUUAGAUACGCCCAGUUAGUCCUA